GAUGAACGCUGGCGGCGUGCCUAAUACAUGCAAGUCGAGCGAACAGACGAGGAGCUUGCUCCUCUGACGUUAGCGGCGGACGGGUGAGUAACACGUGGAUAACCUACCUAUAAGACUGGGAUAACUUCGGGCAACCGGAGCUAAUACCGGAUAAUAUAUUGAACCGCAUGGUUCAAUAGUUAAAGACGGUUUUGCUGUCACUUAUAGAUGGAUCCGCGCCGCAUUAGCUAGUUGGUAAGGUAACGGCUUACCAAGGCGACGAUGCGUAGCCGACCUGAGAGGGUGAUCGGCCACACUGGAACUGAGACACGGUCCAGACUCCUACGGGAGGCAGCAGUAGGGAAUCGUCCGCAAUGGGCGAAAGCCUGACGGAGCAACGCCGCGUGAGUGAUGAAGGGCUUCGGAUCGUAAAACUCUGUUAUUAGGGAAGAACAAAUGUGUAAGUAACUAUGCACGUCUUGACGGUACCUAAUCAGAAAGCCACGGCUAACUACGUG
rnacentral:rRNA from 1 species